GUAGUAAACACACAUGACUAACCUGUAGUAAACACACAUGUGUAACAGGUCUAACCUGUAGUAAACACACAUGUGUAACAGGACUAACCUGUAGUAAACACACAUGUGUAACAGGACUAACCUGUAGUAAACACACAUGACUAACCUGUAGUAAACACACAUGUGUAACAGGACUAACCUGUAGUAAACACACAUGUGUAACAGGACUAACCUGUAGUAAACACACAUGUGUAACAGGUCUAACCUGUAGUAAACACACAUGUGUAACAGGACUAACCUGUAGUAAACACACAUGUGUAACAGGACUAACCUGUAGUAAACACACAUGACUAACCUGUAGUAAACACACAUGUGUAACAGGACUAACCUGUAGUAAACACACAUGACUAACCUGUAGUAAACACACAUGACUAACCUGUAGUAAACACACAUGUGUAACAGGACUAACCUGUAGUAAACACACAUGUGUAACAGGUCUAACCUGUAGUAAACACACAUGACUAACCUGUAGUAAACACACAUGUGUAACAGGACUAACCUGUAGUAAACACACAUGUGUAACAGGACUAACCUGUAGUAAACACACAUGUGUAACAGGACUAACCUGUAGUAAACACACAUGACUAACCUGUAGUAAACACACAUGUGUAACAGGACUAACCUGUAGUAAACACACAUGACUAACCUGUAGUAAACACACAUGUGUAACAGGACUAACCUGUAGUAAACACACAUGUGUAACAGGACUAACCUGUAGUAAACACACAUGUGUAACAGGACUAACCUGUAGUAAACACACAUGACUAACCUGUAGUAAACACACAUGUGUAACAGGACUAACCUGUAGUAAACACACAUGACUAACCUG